rnacentral:rRNA from 1 species
UACGUAGGAUGCAAGCGUUGUCCGGAAUUAUUGGGCGUAAAGAGCGCGCAGGCGGUCUGACAAGUCAGAUGUGAAAGAAGCCGGCUUAACCGGCAAGGGUCAUUUGAAACUGUCAGACUAGAGUGCACAAGAGGAUAGUGGAAUUCCCGGUGUAGUGGUGAAAUGCGUAGAUAUCGGGGAGAACACCAGUGGCGAAGGCGGUUGCCUGGAGCUUUGCUGACGCUGAUGCGCGAAAGCGUGGGGAGCGAUCCGG